rnacentral:lncRNA from 1 species
CUCCAAUAAAGCCUCUUGCAGUUUGCUUCCAAGUCCGUGGUCUCGCUGAUUCCUGGGUGCGGGUCUCCUUCUAUGAAAGUACCUCUUCGGGGGUCUUUCAGUUUCCACAUGUGUUUUGAAACUAUGAAAUUGUACACACUCCUGAUGAUAGACUUGAACAAAAUAACAGAGGCUUCUCUGGCUACAGACAAAGCUAC